GCAGCCGCCGCGGUAAUACGUAGGGAGCGAGCGUUGUCCGGAAUUACUGGGCGUAAAGGGUGCGUAGGCGGCGAUGUAAGUCAGAUGUGAAAUCCCCGGGCUCAACUCGGGGGGUGCAUUUGAAACUACAUUGCUUGAGUGCAGGAGAGGAAAGCGGAAUUCCUAGUGUAGCGGUGAAAUGCGUAGAUAUUAGGAAGAACACCAGUGGCGAAGGCGGCUUUCUGGACUGCAACUGACGCUGAGGCACGAAAGCGUGGGGAGCAAACAGGAUUAGAUACCCUGGUAGUCCACGCUGUAAACGAUGGAUACUAGGUGUGGAGGACAUACAACCUCUGUGCCGAAGCUAACGCAUUAAGUAUCCCGCCUGGGGAGUACGGUCGCAAGACUGAAACUCAAAGGAAUUGACGGGGGCCCGCACAAGU
rnacentral:rRNA from 1 species